AACCCCCAGUUCGACUGGGGGUUCAGGAAAGCUUAUAGCUAUGAGUAGUCAAUCCUUUGAACUCGAUGAUAAGAUGUUAGCCGGUCUGCCAACCGCUAAAACUUAUCGAAGGAGAACAAAG
rnacentral:sRNA from 1 species